UUCUUUCCUCCCCUCUGUGUGAGGAGCUUUAAUUGGUCAGUGCGGCUGGAAGGCGGGGCCUCCCGGGGAAGCGAAACUGGAGGCUGAGGUGAGCAAGGCCUGGCGACCGCUGGAUUUCCCGUGGGCUGGACCCCGAGAAAAGAGUUUUGCUCCAGCGAGCUCGAAGUGGGUGUCUCGUUAACACCCAGAGCCGCGCCGUCGCCUCUCGUGGCCGCGCUGGUGCCGGCAACUCUUUUGUUAGGAUCGAGGAUGCCUAUUGUUCACGCUCUGUGGACGAGGCAUGGGCAGAGAGGAGGAGAAGCCAGUGUAGAGGAGCGCUGAAUAAAAUAGUUGCCUGAAGCCAAAAUAAAUUACAGGACUGCCCUAGCCCGAAGAACUUGUAGGAGAAGGCUUGAAACCGGUUCUGUUAAUGUCCUAGUAUUGCUCUAGCUGCAGGUGCAAAAAAUCAACAGUCUAGCACAGUACCUGGAAAAAAAGACUUACAAGGUUAAUUGAAUGAAUGAAUGCAUGACUGCUUCUUAGAGGGAAUCUGAGAUGUUCCAGCUGCUUCCACUAGGGCGCUGUGCACUACUUCCAUCUAGUGGCGAUCUACCUGGAGUUACAUGGGUAAUUAAAAAAGAAAACUGGCCCCUCUAGAAGGGAAUUAUAUGUAUCUUGACUUCUUGCCUACCUUCAACUUUAUUGAAUUUACUGAAGAGAACAACCCUAUAAAACCCAAUUCUGAAUAUUCUACGAAAAUGUAGUUGAAGAUUUUGUUCAUGAUAACGUUCAUGAGUCAAUGGAGCUAUCGAAGUUACAAUCAUUUAUUUAAGAAAAUUGUGCCUGGAAAUGGAAAAAUCAUUUACAGGAGUGAGGUAUGAAGUACACAAUAAGCAGAGUGAAGUAGAGUGCCAUUUAUCAAACACCGGCCAGGUCUGUAAUCUUCUGCUUUAUCCCUUCUUUGUACUUUAUUUGUCUUUAUUGUUGCGAGGAGGGAUAUUUACCAAGAGCAGUGGGCAUGAAGCCCAUAAACCUCCUCCUUCCUCUCUUUCUCUCUUUCUUAUUCCCCCCUGUCAGCCUUGUCAGUGUAAUUUGUUUGUUUCCUUCUAGGUGGUCCUUUGCUUGUUUGGCGUUCUUUUCUCUCUUCCUUUUCUCUGCCUUUCUUUGCAAUGUGCAUUCAUGCAAUGGGAAAUGACACCAAAGCUACUGGAAUAUGCAACGGGAAUGCUAACAGCUACCAUGAAGGACUGUCCAGGAUGCAUUCGGUAAUGACUUUGAAUGCCUCUUGGCAAGAUAGCAGUGUUAAAAUGUUGUAGACAGCCCCUGGGUGGCAGUGCAUAGCCAGUCCUGAUGCCAACAAAAGCAUUUUCAAUGUAAAGAUUUUAUAUGUGUGUGUUUACAUAUGACAUAUAGGAUGCAUGUGUUUAUAUGCAUGCAUGUACACACGACACCUGUAUACAUAAUAUGUCUGUAUGAUAUAUUUGUAUAUAUAUGUAUAUAAUAUAUAGAUAUAUGUCUACAUAAGAUGUGUUUAUAACCUGUAUGUGUAUGUAUGAUAUAUGUAUGUCUAUGUGUGUACAUUGUAUGUGUGUAUACAUAUAUGCAUUACAUAUUUAUCCAUCUACCCAAAACUAGUUAAAAAGUAACUCUCUUUGAAAGGUAUAAACUCUGAUUUACCCCACAUUUCUUAAGUGCAGUAAUGGCAAUAACUAAAAUAACUUGUAUCUUUUUUUAAUCUAAUGCUAAAAAGGUUCUAGAUAUCCCAGUCAUAUAAUGACAUCUAAAUUAUCUUUAAAAUCAUGCAAAUAUGGUUCUGAUGCAGUGGAAGACUUCAGAGGAUAGUGAGAGUAUGGCUAGAGGUGUUUUGUGCCCCUCAGUCUGCACACUGCCAGUCUAUGCAGCAGCCUUGGGGGUAAAUUAUUUUUAGUACUAUUAUAACCCUUUUUUAUUAUUUGAAUAGCAGUUUUAUGACAAAACAUUUAUAUUCAGGCUGCCUUUGUACUUGACUGAAAGAGAGCAAUCAUGGAGAGUGAUAAGGCAACAAUGGUAAUGAUAACUGCAUUUAUAAAGACGUACAGAAUUUAAACAGGAGUACUAAAAUAGACUGACGAUAGUUCUCUACCUGAACCUGGAGCAGAGAUGGGCAAGGUUCUUGUGGUUGAGAUGUCUUUGCUAUUUGGGGGCAGAUGACAAUGUGUAUGUGUAUGUAUGUAUGUGUGUGUGUGUGUGUGUGUUUUCCUAUGUCAUUGUUUCUUCCUUUUAGUUAAAUGUACUUGAUAUGUAGAUGAAUGGGUAGCAAUAACAACAUAGGGCCAUUUUGUAUUCAGAUUAACUAUUACCAUAAUUUUGUCAGAUUAUGAUUCAAUGCAACUGCAUUUCUGAAUAAACUAUUCAACUCAAGUAUUAGUUCUUAGAAA
rnacentral:lncRNA from 12 species